GCUACCGCCGCCCACAUAUCCAUGAGGGUCUGAGCUCAAUGUCAAAAAGUCAAGGCAGCAGAAAUGGCUCUGAGUUGCCAGGAGUCAUUUUCCCCUCAGGCCAAGGAAGGGAAUAGGUCCAUCAUGUGUUGUCUAAUGGCUGUGCAGGUCUGUUCAUUACACCAAGAAGAUCAGUACUGCAGUGCUACCCUCGGUUCUGGAGUCCCCCGUCUGGAAAGGAUGGGAUGGAUCACAGAGUGAGGCUGUGAGCGCUCAGUGCAGUAGGAGAUGUUUGGAGAAACGUUGGUGUUUAGUGCCUCCAGUGUCAGCACUGAAAUUUAACCACCUAAAUGCCAGAUCCUGCACCUAUGACAGAGUAACACCUGGUACAAGUACAAAAUGGGAGCGGAGUGGUUGGAGAGCAGCCCUACAGAGAGAGAUCUGGGGGUGCUGGUCAGCAGCAGCUCAGUGCAUAGGUUCAGAGCAAAAUGAAUGUACGCUUCUGAAAGAACAGUUGCUAAAAUCAACAGUGAGAAUUGAGAAUCUGAUUGACUUCAGUGAACCCUCAGCAAUGCCCUUUCUGCUUAAAGAUCUGCUAUAAAAAUAAGAUCUCCUCAAAUGCAUAAAAAUAAGCUACAGUCCUAAAAGAGAGCUUGGCUGAAGUCAGCUGUAUUACAACAGGUCUGGAUUUCACUCAUGGGGAACAUAGCUUUUCCUUUACACUGAACAAUCAAAUUUGCCAAACUUGUCUCUGGCAGCCAGACUUGACCAAGUGCAGUUGCUGCAGUACAGAAAGAAACAGUCCGAACUCAGCAUUUAUGGCUGUGCAGAGAUCCAGAGAUUGUCACAAGGAGAUGAGGAGGAGCCCCCUUCACCAUUUUGUUCGUCUCCCUCCCCUCAGCCAGCAAGUGGCUAAUUCUAUCCCCAGAGCUGUCCACAAUUCUCCACUGUAAACAUCAAGAAUGAUAGACCAUCCCUAUCUCUUUGCACUGACUGUAUGAAAUUUUAUGGACCAUCAAUGCUCUUAAGAGCACUCUGGAAAUGGAAUAGUAUCAUCACUCAACUCCUUGUAGGACCAGUUGUGAGAACAGUUUUGAGCAAAACUGGAUGAAGCAGUAGUUUUAGUCUUAGUUUAGGUUUCUGGGGGCUAUGCAACAGUCUUGCAGACAUUCAUGACUCUUCAGAGACCAGAGGAAAAAACAUAGAUGAUGAUGAUGAUUAAUAAUAAUAAAUUAAUAAUAAUUAUAUAGUCAAAAUAUUAAAAAGGUUGCUUUUAUUUCUCUGUGAGAAUUAAAAUGUUGACCUUUCCUUUAGUCUGAUUUAUUUGACUCAAUAAAGUGACUUAACAGUAAGUAGAGUAGGGUAACUGUACACUAAAGUGGGAGGAAAAAUCAAAUGUCAGAUAAGAAUUGCCUGAGCAAAAGAAUGUAAGACCAUCUUUUAAGUCAUGAAAGGAGUCAAAGUAAGGUUGCCAAGGAAACCUUAACUUUGCUUUUCCUACGUUGUUUUUUUUUUUUAAUUGUGAACUUAGCCUCCUCAUUGUGCCAAAAUUAAUGGGAAUUUUGAGUCCUAUCAAUUAGUCUGUGGGUUUUGUCUUUCUUCUUUGUCGCUGUUCAUUUGUCAUAUGAUAUAUUAGAAUCUGAACAUACCUUUCUGAACAUCAUUUAUGCUAUGUACAGGGAAAA